ensembl:lncRNA
AGUGUUUGCUGUGUAAAUGGACCGUACUACCCAAUGCUAUUUUAGUGAAGCAUUUAUUUAUUGUUAAGGACUUUCUGGAUUAUUUGCGUAUUGGCAUUGUAUUACUGCAACGCAGGAGCUAGAAACACAAGCAUUUCGCUGCGCCUGCUGUGACAUCCGCUAAUCUGUGUACGCGACCAAUAAACUUUUUAAUUUGUAACAUAUAGUACGUCUGACUUUGUCAAUAUCAGAUUUGUUUUACUUACUGUGAAGUAAAAUCAUAAUAAUAAUACAUAGUUACUUACGUUUCUACAGACAUCCAUUGUCAUUAUUUAGUUCUCAAAAUCUGUAGUAGACAAAAUGUAAAAUCGAUCCAUUUACCAAACGUUCCGUAGGUUUAAUCAAACGUUCCGUAGGUUUAAUCAAACGUUCCGUAGGUUUAAUCAAACGUUCCAUGGGUUUAAUCAAACGUUCCAUGGGUUUAAGUGAUCCCUGAUAAAGAGCAGUUGGAUUAUGUAAUAGGAAAACCUCUUAAAAGAGAAUCAUACCUAAAGUAAUGUGAGCAUUGAGAAAAGCAAUGACUGUAUAUGAACAUGUAUUGCAAUGUGAAACAUGCAUUUCUAGAUGAAACAGAUUAAAUUUGGUGUAAAAAUAAAGUGACUGUUGUACUUAGUCAAUUGAAAAUGUGCUUAGUUUUGAAACGGGCUUUUUGAUGAUCUGUUUCGAAUUUCGUAUUAAGAGUUGUGGAAAUAUACCACAUACAUGUGAAAAUUGCACCAAUGAGAUUUAAAAAAUAAAAUAAAAAACAUUUUAAACCAACCCCAAAUCCUCACCUAGCCCAAACCCCAGAAUUAUCUCCAAAAGAAAGCUGGACGGAUCUUGGAUGGUUGGUGUAGAUUCAAGGGUCUCAAAAGAAGAAGAGACAUUUCCCAAAAGGCCCUGCAGCUCUACUCGUCUUAUAAUCUAUUCAGAUGGAAAAGUACAUAGAUGUGGCUGUUAUCUUUUGUACAUCUUUUAAAAACUUAAACGCGUGCCAUGGUUCCGCUAUAAAAUGACCUAGUUUUCAAGAUUAUAUUGACUGCAUCUCAAAUGCCACCCUAUAUAGUGCAGUACUACCCUGGUCAAAAGUAGUGCACUAGGCCUAUAGGGAAUAGGGUUCCAUUUGAGAGAUAGCUACUCUUUCCCUGAACUUAUUAACCCCCCCAAUAACUGCCCUGCAUUUACAAUCAAAACAAACUAAAGCCACUCAAAUUUAGCUACCAAACAUGUAUGCAAAUUAAUUAACUGGCAAAAGCAUAAAAGUUCAGUGGUCGCCGUGGUUUCUAUUCUGAGUGACAACACAUUCCACC